UAUUAUUUAGUGUAUUUUUGAAAAAGAAUAAAUCAUGAAAUAGCAACGAAGUAUUAAGGGAGAAUAGCGAAUCCUCAGCUGACAACACAGAGUAUUUUUGUGUUAGCGAAAUAACGCUGCAGUCCCGUUUUCAUGUUAUGUUCUUGUGAAGUUAUAUUUUACUGAUGGAAUUGUGUAUAUUUUUGGACCUCGGAAACACUUAUAUUGUUGUUCCUAGCCUAAAAUGCUGGAGUAGAUUACACGUAGGAAGACUGGAAAGCUUAGUCGAUUCCUCUAUCUUAAUUUCAUCUUGAAAUGAGGCUGGGUUCUUCUUCAGCGGCCUCACACAAAGGAGGGAUUCAAUAUGUCAAAUGUAACUCUCAAAUCCCAGGCAUGAAAUACAAUUCAUUUCAUGGGUAGAGGAUCCCAUUCAAGAGGGACCCUCUUGUCUUCAUACGGUGGGAAUAUAGAAACAUCGACAGGAUUAGGGAUCCCCAUCCAAGUUUCCAUACGACUUGAUUAACAACCCAAGCGUAUUCACAAAACAAGUAUCGAGUUAUUUUUGAACAAUACCUACCUUGAUGCCGUCGGAAUUAUACGGUCAAAGAGGAGUAGUUAUUUGCCUCUAAAUACACCAUUAAAAAAUAUCACGUUCAGAAGGACUCGACUCCUACUCCACUACACAUAGGGAACUCAUAUCCAUGAAUGAAUCCCUUAACACUGGACGUCCAGAAAUGUUAAUACCCUAAAUGGUCAUAGUAUCAAGAAUGAUACUUAGCUUAUACAUGUGAAUAAAAGUCUGUUGUUUUUUUGAUUUAUUUUAUUUGAUAAUCUCUAAAUAUAAAUAAAAAACAAUAAAAGUAAUAAUAUAUAA
rnacentral:lncRNA from 1 species